rnacentral:rRNA from 1 species
AUUGAACGCUAGCGGGAGGCUUUACACAUGCAAGUCGAACGAGUGGCGGACGGGUGAGUAAUAUCUCGGAAAGUGCCCAGUGGAGGGGGAUAACUACUGGAAAAGGUAGCUAAUACCGCAUACUAUUGGAGAGGCCCAGAUUGGAUUAGCUGGUUGGUGGGGUAACGGCUCACCAAGACAACGAUCCCUAGCUGGUCUGAGAGGAUGACCAGCCACACUGGGACUGCGACACGGUCCAGACUCCUACGGGAGGCAGCAGUGGGGAAGUUUGCACAAUGGGCGAAAGCCUGAUGCAGCCAUCCCGCGUGUGUGAUGAAGGCCUUCGGGUUGUAAAGUACUUUCUGCGGAGAGGCGGUACCCGCAGAAUAAGCACCGGCUAACUCCGUGCCAGCAGCCGCGGUAAUUC